AUUGAACGCUGGCGGCAGGCCUAACACAUGCAAGUCGAACGAGUGGCGGACCGGUGAGUAAUGUCUGGGAAACUGCCCGAUUGAGGGGGAUAUCUACUGUAAAUGGUAGCUAAUACCGCAUACCAUCGGAUGUGCCCAGAUUGGAUUAGCUAGUAGGUGGUGUAACGGCCCACCUAGGCGACGAUCCCUAGCUGGUCUGAGAGUAUGACCGGCCAAACUGGAACUGAGACACGGUCAAGACUCCUACGGGAGGCAGCAGUGGGGAAUAUUGCACAAUGGGCGCAAGCCUGAUGCAGCCAUGCCGCGUGUAUGAAGAAGGCCUUCGGGUUGUAAAGUACUUUCGGCGAGGAGGCGUUACUCGCAGAGGAAGCACCGGCUAACUCCGUGCCAGCAGCCGCGGUAAUUC
rnacentral:rRNA from 1 species